CUCUCCUUAAACCUACUUUAGCAGCUUCGCCCAUUUUUUUAAAAAAACACUCAGCUUCUAUACCAAUUUUUAAAACACACCAUCUACAAUCUUAUCCAAAAACACAUACUUUGGCAGCUUUUGGCAAAGAAAGAAAAGGAUAACUACAAACAGUAGAGAGCUAACAAAUGAGUCAUCUUCCUUAUUUUGGAACCACUUUCACAAGCAAUAUCCUUAGGUCCACUUGUCACUCAAAUUCCUUAUCUUUCAUUUGUCCCUACUGGAACUCAUUGCUACAUACAUAACACUUCCCAUUUUCAUUUUAUCAUUCAACAUGCUCACUAACCACAUGACAUGAACCACAAAUUGAGUCAAGGAGAAGAAAGGGGCUUUAAACUCAUCGGUGGUGCCAUCUUGUUAGAACCGUCCUGGAACAUGGCGGAGGUGCUACCGGAGGAAGCCUUUGUGCAGCCGAGCCGUGGUAGAAGUUCCUAGACUCAUGGUCCAGGUGGGGAAGACGACCCCCACCCUUUUAUUUAUUUAUUUCUUUUAUUUAAUCAUAUUCUUUUAUUUAUUUAUUUAUUAUGUAUAUAGUUUUUGUUUAUUCAUUUUAUUUAUUAAUAAAUUUAUCUUAUUUGAAUAUUAUGGACAAUCUAUCAUUAUUUGAGUAUGGAGUUAUAAUACUCUACUUAGUAUAUGUGUUUAAUCCAUUUAAGUUGUUGAUUGGUAUUUAGAAUUAGGCUUAUUCCUUUUUUAUGUUUGUUGCUUAGUUUAUUUUUUUUAUAGUUUAUUUAUCUUAUAUUUAUUGGAUAUUUGUCUUUAUAUGUUUGUGUGUAUUUUAUCCAUAUUUAUUUUCAGUGGUUUUGUUAAACUAUCAUAAUAGAAUAACAAAAAUACAUAUGUUUUUAUCUAUGAUUCCAUUUUUACUCGAGCAUAAAAAUAGAGUUUAAUGUAAGAAUUUGGGAGAUCUGUGAAUGUAUUGAACUAUAUCUUCCUUUCCCUUCGAAUAGAAAAGUGGUGAGCGGUUGUCGUACUGCUUCUUCUUUCUGUGAUAACGGGAUUGGCGGUAGAUGGUCAGUGUCAUCCUUAUCUUCUAAGAUUCUUAUCCUAAUUUUUUAUAACAAAUUUCAUUUGAUAAUUUCAAAAAUAAAAUAAUCAAUUAAGUCAUUAAUAUCGCCCUUGUAAAUACCAAAGUCGUCAAUAAUUAAUAUAUGUUAUAUUUAUUUGAACCAUCAAUAAAUAAGAUACUCUUUUUUUGAAAUUAUACUUAAUAUUUGAAAUAAGAGUCGCAAUCAUUAAUACAGUAUGAUAUGAGUUUUUUUUCUUUUAAAAUAAUCGAGAGUCACAAUCAUUAAUAUGGUAUGAUAUGAGUUUUUCUGAAAUAAUCGAAAGUCAGAAUCAUUAAUAUCUUAUGACAUGAAUCUUUGAAAUAAUCAAGAGUCACAAUCAUUAGUAUUUUAUGAUGUAAACAUUUGAAAUAAUAAUUUUUUCAUAAAAUUAAUCAAAUAAGAGAGAAAUAUUUUUUAAGUGCUAAGGUUAGAGAAAGAGUAUCAACUUGAGUAUUAUGUUGUUAUCAUGUUAGUAGGAAAACAGUAAGCGGUUGUCGUACUGCCUCUUCUUUCUCUCUAAUAAGGAUAAGACAAUAUAUAUCAAGUCCUUAUCUCAUUAUCCUAUUUAAUAAAAAGCGGUGAGCGGUUGUCGUACUGUCCCUUCUUUUAUUUAAAAUGGGUAAAGUGAUGUAGGACAAAGUUGUAUCUCCCUCCUUAACAUUAUCAACUGACAAUUUGAGCCCGUUUUUUAUCAUGUUAGUAAGAAAGCGGUAAGUGGCUGUCGUACUACCUCUUCUUUCUCACUAAUAUGGAUAAGAUGAUAUAAGUCAAACCACUUUUCAUUAACUAAAAUCAAUCAACACACAAAUGUUUUCUACCUAAGAACUACGUAGUCUUGAUUUCCCUAUUGCACCUAGGGAUACGUAGGAGCAGGACGAACUCUUGUCAGACACAAAAAUAAAACAAAAACAAAAACAUUUUUUUAAAUAAUAAAUUGAUUUAACAAGCUUUAGGGUAUAUCUAGUGCCAUGCGAUUAUUGCGGGUACCGUUUGAUAACAGGCGGAUGGGGUGCUAAUAUCUUCCCUAAUCCGUAACCGACUCCCGAGUCCAGAGAUCUAGUUCAAAGGCUAAGUCUUUCCAAUAUUUGGGCAUCAAAAGGGUUUUCUACGUUUUGACCGCAAAAACGUGGUGGCGACUCCAAUCUAGUCGUGUGAUCGGUGUUCGGCUGAAAAUCGGGGCGCGACAACUGUAAUUCCUGUCUUCUUUGGAACCACCUGAACUGGGCUCACUCAAUGACUAUCAAAAAUGGGAUAUAUAAUCCCAGCUUAUAAAAGCGUUGUGACCUCUUUCUUCACAACCUCAAGGAUGACUGGAUUGAGUCUCCUUUGUGGUUGUCUCACUGGUUUAGCUCCAUCUUCCAAGAGUAUCCUAUGCAUGCACAUAGAUGGGCUAAUACCAGGAAUAUCAGCUAAGGUCCAACCAAUUGCCUUCUUAUGCUUCUUCAGCACUUGCAACAACUUCUCCUCUUGAUCAACAUCAAGGGUGGUGGAAACAAUAAUAGGAAGCUUCUCAUCGUCCUCUAAGUAUCACUAUCAGGUAGAUUAACACUAAGAUGAAAAGACUCACUAUCUAAAUUUAAAUUCCUAACUUGUCUAACCAAACUAUGAAAUGUUCUAUAAAUUUCAGGAUUUAUUGGAUGCAAAGAGUCGGGAUUUACCCUAGUCAUGCACUAAAUGCAGCAGUAAGAAACAUGUAGGGUAGUAAGGGAAAUACAUGUUAAAUUUCAGUAAUCAACCAAAACUUUGCAUCAAUAAAAUCCUAAUACCAUAGGAAACAUACACAAAAAGUUUCAGGACAAAACUCAAAGCCUAACUAAUUUAAUUAAAUGCAACAAAAUCAAAACAAUUGGAAAAAUAAACUUGUAAAAUAAAAAAGAAAUAGUAAACAAACUCUUUUAGGAUUUUCAGGUGUAGAGAAAGGAUUUUCAGGGGUUUUAGGAAAAAUAAACUUGUAAACUAAAAAAGAAAUAGUAAAUAGUAAACAGACGCAGUGUGUAGAGAAAGAAUCGUCUCAUUUUUCUACCCAAAAUGCAUAUAUAAUAUGUUCAAUUCUGAUCAACGAUUCCAAAGUUAUGCCAAAAAUAGAAAAUCAAUAGUAAAACUAGUCANNNNNNNNNNNNNNNNNNNNNNNNNNNNNNNNNNNNNNNNNNNNNNNNNNNNNNNNNNNNNNNNNNNNNNNNNNNNNNNNNNNNNNNNNNNNNNNNNNNNGGAAACAAAGUUUCAUGCAAAAAUUCCAACCACAACUAUAUUAACCAACAUACACCCGAAUCAACCAACACAAAUAGUUAAACAAGACAGCAAAUAGCAAAUAGUGAAUGCUACAGGCAGAUUUUGAAAUCCAAAGAGAAUGGUUAUUCUAAGACACACACUAAACUAUACUAAGAACCUUUGACAAGAACCGAUAAUCCCCAGCAGCGGCGCCAAAUUUGAUUGAGGCCAUACCCGAUACAAAUAAUAUAACAAUUAAAACUGCAGUACUAGGAAGUGACUCCUAGGUCGUUUCCCAAGGAUUAUCUUUCACGAAAAGCUUCAAACACCUUACACUCACACACACACAAGGGGUUUUUUUGCUGUUGGAUAGUAUACACAUAAAUCAAAUUCAGAAACAAUAGUUAAACAAUGUAAUAAAACGACUAAAUCCCUUUGGUUCGUUUGUUCACAACUCAAUCCUCGGUUUCAAAAGAUUAUUUUUAGAUUCCAACCAUUAACUUCCGAAUUUGUUGAGAAUCAAUUAACUAAGCGAUAAUCAAUUCAAAGUUCCAGAACCUAAACAUCAAACUAAGCGAAAUCAGUAAAGGUAUGAAACGAUUAACAAAUUCACAUGUACUAAGCACUAAUGCCCUAGAGAGAGUAAAUCAACUAAGUGAAGAUAAACUCAACCAACCAGUUUCUAAGCAANNNNNNNNNNNNNNNNNNNNNNNNNNNNNNNNNNNNNNNNNNNNNNNNNNNNNNNNNNNNNNNNNNNNNNNNNNNNNNNNNNNNNNNNNNNNNNNNNNNNAAAUGAAGAAGGGGUGAAACCCUAGCAGAGCAAAAAGAGGGAAAACCGAAAAUGUGUGUUUUUCAAAGUGAGGCAAAGUAAAAAAAGUGUGUGUUUGGAGUGGGGAAUCCGAAUUUAACCCCUCCAACACACAUAAACCGAAUUGGGCCUAAACAACAGGCCCAAAGACAAAUUACAAUAAAAACAACUCCUAAAUUAAAAAUACAAUCUUCACUUCAAGACAUAUCCUCGACUUCCAUAAUGCCAAAAAUGCCAGUGGUGCCAAAUAUGAUCUGAAAAUGAUAAUAGAUUUAAUCAGGCCAAAUAAUCCCAAAUUAACUCAUUUUAGGAAUAUUAGUCCAAUAAAGUCUAAAACACUAAACCAUGUGAAAUAAAGUCAACUAGGCACCAAGAAUCAUCAAUCAUGCUAAAUUAAGGUUAUGAAUAGUGUGUAAUAUAUUGCUCAUCAAUGUUGUUAAUCAAGAACCGAGAUUAUAGAAAGAAUAUCAAAUAAUAUUAUUUUUUAAUAAUAUCAUCUUGGUUUCUUGGUCAAAGAAUGAGAGAAAUCUAAAAUAUGAUGAAUAUGAAUAAUACUUGUUUAAGAAUAACAAUCCUCUAUAAAACUAUUGGUUUCUUAAUCAAAGAAUAAGAUAAAUCUAUAAUAUGAUGCAGUAUGAAUAAUACUUGGUGAAAAAUAACAAUGUUCAACAAUAUCAUUUUAGUUUCUUGACCAAAGAAUAAGAGAAAUAUAGACACUAUAUGCCAUAAAAGACAAAAAAAUACUAGCAUCUAACCUUCAAGUGCUUCUUAAUCAAAUUAUGCUUAUGAUGGUACAUGUUAGGUGUGAAAAUUCUCUUAAAUCAUAAUGCUAAUUUAACAAUUUUAAUUCUAAAUACCAAUUGUAUGCAUUCCUAAUUGGAAACUAGAUGAGUUAUUGCACUAAUCCUUUGAAUUGAUUUUCUAUGACAUUUCAGGAUAUUAGAAGAGUAAAAUAAGCAAUGAUUGAUGUCAAAUAACAAAAAUCAAGCAAAGCCACAAGUCACCUGGCCUGCACCCAACACAACAACAUUGACACACCAAGCGUAGCUUGCCCAGGUGAAGUGUCGGACCAGACGAAGAGGGUGUGCUGAUCACACCACCCCUUCUCCAAACGCAAGUACCAAAACUUAGAACGAUAAAAAUAGAUUGUAAGAGCAAAAGAUCGGUCACCCAGUUUUUAGUUCCCAAUUAAGUUUCAAUUACUUUUAGGAUGAUUUCUAUUUCCCUUAGUGCUUAGAAUAGAAUGUGCUAGAAAUUAGAUAUAAGGUGAGAGUGUAUGAAUGAUAAAGUUGUUGUAAGUUCAUAGAGGAUGUAUCACUUCUCCAUGAAUUAUAAUUUUUUGCGUUGUUCUUUAUCUUGGUUAUGUAUGAAAAUGCUUAGGUAGGAUUACUAUCUUGUUGGGAUUGAUUGUAAUACCCAUUUGAAUUAAUAUUUGGA
rnacentral:lncRNA from 1 species